UUUUAUUUUGACAAGUAUGCUUUCUGAAGAAAUGGAGUUUCAAAUUUUUGGUUUGAUUUUGGUAUUCUGCAUUUGGCAAAUGGAUUCGCCGGCUUUGGCUUCCACUGCAGUUUCUCUUCCACAUCCCAAACGCAGACCUGGGGGCUGUUACGAGGACGAGGUAGGACAUUUACGAGGAGGACAAGUAACAGAAGUGCCAGGAGAAUGUUCUCAAGCUACGUGUUCUUCCGAUGGAACCAUAGAAUAUAUAAGUUGUACUCCCUUCUCUUUGGACGAAUACUCAGAUUGCGCUGUGUACCCUUUUGACCUUUCUAAACCUUUUCCACGUUGUUGUCCAUAUGAAAAGUGUUUUUAAAGUAAAAAUAGUGCUCAAAAUUUCUUCAUUUCUUUUUUAAGAACCGAUUCAUAGUGAGGACGAAAAUCUGUAGUUACUUUAAAAUUUCGUAAUGUUUUAAUACUUUCCACGACGUCUUAUUAAAACUCAAACACUGUCCAAGCUUCAAGGCAUUUUGUCAACUUCCAUUUUUAUCUUUAUUGAAAAUCAAAUGGUCUGAUUUUGUCACCAUCUGUCAAAUCUAAAAAAUUUUCAAGUUGUACACAACAUGAAUUGCUUGAUUCCACUACUUCUGCUUUAUUACAUUUGUGGAUGUAAUUCGCCCGCUACUGCAGCGAUAAUGAGCAGUUUACCAAAUCCAGGAAGAAAAGCGGGAGGUUGUUAUGAAUCCCAAUUUGGUCACAUAAGAAGCAAUGAAACUGUGACGAUUCCAGAUGCUUGUGUUCAAAUUGUAUGCCGACCUAGCGGGAUGAUAACUUAUACCAGUUGUGCUUCCGUGAUGGACAGUGCUAAUAGUAACUGCUACGUGAGUGAACCGAAUUACUCCAAGUCGUUUCCAGAAUGUUGCCCAAAAUUUGUAUGCCAGGAAGAAUAAAUUUUUUGCAUAAUAUUUUCAUGUGUUCCAGCAUGUAAUUGAGAAUAAAAUUCAAACGUAA